rnacentral:lncRNA from 1 species
GAGAGAUGGGGUGUCGCCAUGUUGGCCAGGCUGGUCUCCAACUCCUGACCUCAGCUGAUCUGCCUGCCUAAACCCAGAGGAUGUUUCAGCUGUCAGCCCUGUCAUCGGGGACCCCUCCUUCUACCAGGAAACCCUGUUCCUUGGCUCCACCCCUACCCUGUGGCCUUUGAGACUCCAGUCCCCUGAUUAACAGGGUCUGAGGCCAUGGCAGGGCGCCUCCUCCCUCCCCAGCUCGCUUUCUGGGCACUCUUGUUCUCCUGAGCCACCUGACUUCAGCUCAGCGCUCGCCUUCGCAGAGGCCUGGGUCAGGUGCCCACACAGCAGGCUGUGCUGCUCUCCCCAAUCCUGUUCCUGCUCAGACCUGGAGCCCCCUGAAGGCAAGGACUGUGUCUUGUCCACCACCAUCCCCAGUGCCUAGCAAUGGGCCUUGGAAUCCCUUGGAUUUUGCACUUAGUUGGUGCUCAAUAAACAUUUGCUAUUUUUUUUCAUUUAUUAUUAUAUUUUUUGAGACGAAGUUUCACUCUUGUUGCCCAGGCUGGAGUGCAGUGGCAUCAUUUUGGCUCACUGCAACCUCUGCCUCCCAGGUUCAAGCAACUCUCCUGCCUCAGCCUCCCCAGUAGCUGGGAUUACAGGCACUGGCCACCAUGCCCGGCUAAUUUUUGCAUUUUUAGUAGAGAUGGGGUUUCACCAUGUUGGCCAGGCUGGUCUCGAACUCCUGACCUCAGGUGAUCCACCUGCCUUGGCCUCUCAAAGUGCUGGGAUUACAGGUGUGAGCCACUGCAUCCAGCCUUUUACUUCUGAGACAAGGUCUUAGUGUUACCCAGGCUGGAGUGCGGCAGCACAAUCAUGGCUCACUGCAGCCUCAAUCUCCCAGGCUCAAGUGAUUCUCCCACUUCAGCCUUGGAAGUAGCUAGGACUAUGCCACUAGGCCAGGUGCACUUUUCAAUUUUUAUUUUUUAGAGAUGUGGGGCUCACUAUGUUGCUCAGGCUGGUCUUGAACUCCUGGCCUUAAGUGAUCCUCCUGCCUAGGCCUCCCAAAGUGCUGGGGUUACAGGCAAGAGCCACCACACCCAGUGGAUUUGUGACAUUCUGUGGAGUAAGAAAACAAGAAACGGCCUCCUGGAACUCGCUCCAGGUUAAUUUCCAAGAGUGUUCUCUCUACUGAAAUAUAUGUUAAUAUAUGGUAAUCGUAGCUAACUUUAGUCAAGUACACCAAAUAGUAAACAGAAAUUAACUUCCAAGAGGGAGAAGGAGAAAACACGUGUCUCCACCAUGAAUGAAAAAGAAUUGGCCUGAGUUCUAUUUCCAAGAGUUAGUAGAACACUCCUCUAACUCAAUUUUAAUUUGUUUUUUACCAAAAUAUAAAUGUUGGAAACAGCGAAAUAAAUUUAAAAUAGUAACAGGGCAGGGCUCGGUGGUGUACACUUAUAAUCCCAGCACUUUGGGAGGCUGAGGUGGGAGGGUUGUUUGAACUUAGGAGGUGGAGACCAGUGCAAGAUGGCAAAACCCUGUCUCCACAAAAAAUACAAAAAUUAGCCAGGCAUGGUGGUACGCACCUGUAGUCCCAGCUACUUGGGAGGAUGAGGUGUAAGAAUGGCUUGAGCCCGAGAGGUGGAGGUUGCAGUGAGCCGAGAUCACGCCACUGCACCCCAGCCUGGGCAAAAGCGCCAGACCUUGUUUCAAAAACAAACAAAAAUUAGGCUGGCAUGGUGGUGAAUGCCUGUAGUCCUAGCUACUUGGGAGGCUGAGAUGGGAGGAAUGCUUGAGCCCAGGAGUUGGAGGCUGCAGUGUGCAAUGAUGGCGCCACUGCACUGCAGCCGGGGGGACACAGCAAGCCCUUGUCUCGAAGUUAACUAAUUAAAGGGGCGGGUUCUGUAGUAGAAUCUCCUGUUUAAACAGUAAAAUACCUGUUUAAAUGUCUAUUUGGGCAUGAAUCGUAAAUGAUGCAGAAUUACAGGGGCAUCACCAGGGAACCUAGAUAUAUUUGUUUUUGAGACAGGGUCUCACUGUGUUACCCAAGCUGGAGUGCAGUGGAGUGAUCACGGCUCACUGCAGCCUUCAACUCCUCGGCUCAAGGGAUCCUCCUACCUCAGCUUCCCAAGUAGCUGGGACUAUAGGUGCGCACCAUCACGCCCAGAUAAUUUUAAAAUUUUUUGUAGAGAUGGGGUCUCACUGUGUUGCCAAGGCUGGUCUCAAACUCCUGGGCUCAAGCGAUCCUCCUGCCUCGGCCUUCCAAAGUGCUGGGAUUACAGGCGUCAGCUCACCACGCCUGGCCAUAAGAAUUCUUGUGUGUGAGUUUGUUUGAGACGAUUCUGUUACCUACACCUCUGUGUUCAGUUCCAGACUCCUUCCCACCCAUGAGCAAUGAGGGACAUUACUUCAUGAUUCUCCCCUAAUGGUGGUUUUUUUUGUCGGGGGGAGGGCAGGGGCUCUCAGUAUCACCCAAUCCUUUCUCAAUGAUGACAUCUGUUUGUUCUUCUUUUCCUAAAUAAGUGAUGCCCUGAAGAAAGAAUCUCUCAACUUAAGGUCCUGAUGACCUAGUACUAAUGGCCAGAAAUGGCUACAGGACAUGUCCUGCCUAAAUAUCAUCUCCUGCACCCCGUGGGGGUGAAGCCCACCGCAACCUGGCAUCCUGCUGUGUCGCCAUGUGCCCACCCACCCAACACACACCUGUGGCGACUGUCUCUCUUGGCCCAGUGAGCUGGCAGAGGCAGGAAGGGACUUGCUGACAGUCCCCUGGCUUACCAGAGGCAGGGGCAGGAUUCAAAGCCAGGUCAUCAGGCUCCAAGCCCCAGCACCCUCCCCAGCACUGAGGCGGCCCACAAGCUCCAGGUUGCAGACUCAGGGCAGGGGCUGUGACACAUGUGGGGGUGGGGAGAGGGAUGGAAACCAACAGUCCAAAGAUAGGAGAACUAAAACCGAAACACAAACCAGCCAGUCCCAGACAGAGAAAAACAGGUUUCAAAAUGUACAGCCAGGGCAUGUGCUCAUUUAUUAGGGCUGACUCUCCGUGUCCGCUUCCUGGGAAAGAAAA